rnacentral:rRNA from 1 species
GACGAACGCUGGCGGCGUGCUUAACACAUGCAAGUCGAACGGAAAGGCCCUGCUUUUGUGGGGUGCUCGAGUGGCGAACGGGUGAGUAGCACGUGAGUAACCUGACCUUGACUUUGGGAUAACUUCAGGAAACUGGGGCUAAUACCGGAUAGGAGCUCCUGCUGCAUGGUGGGGGUUGGAAAGUUUCGGCGGUUGGGGAUGGACUCGCGGCUUAUCAGCUUGUUGGUGGGGUAGUGGCUUACCAAGGCUUUGACGGGUAGCCGGCCUGAGAGGGUGACCGGCCACAUUGGGACUGCGAUACGGCCCAGACUCCUACGGGAGGCAGCAGUGGGGAAUAUUGCACAAUGGGCGGAAGCCUGAUGCAGCAACGCCGCGUGCGGGAUGACGGCCUGCGGGUUGUAAACCGCUUUCGCCUGUGACGAAGCGUGAGUGACGGUAAUGGGUAAAGAAGCACCGGCUAACUACGUG